rnacentral:rRNA from 1 species
CUGGCUCAGGAUGAACGCUAGCUACAGGCUUAACACAUGCAAGUCGAGGGGCAGCAUUAUCGAAGCUUGCUUUGAUAGAUGGCGACCGGCGCACGGGUGAGUAACGCGUAUCCAACCUUCCCCAUAGUAGGGCAUAGCCCGUAGAAAUGCGGAUUAAUACCCUAUGUAUUCCGAGGAUGACAUCUGAUUCGGAACAAAGGUUCACCGCUAUGGGAUGGGGAUGCGUCUGAUUAGGUAGUAGGCGGGGUAACGGCCCACCUAGCCGACGAUCAGUAGGGGUUCUGAGAGGAAGGUCCCCCACAUUGGAACUGAGACACGGUCCAAACUCCUACGGGAGGCAGCAGUGAGGAAUAUUGGUCAAUGGGCGAGAGCCUGAACCAGCCAAGUAAGCGUGCAGGAUGACGGCCCUAUGGGUUGUAAACUGCUUUUAUACAGGGAUAAAGUCGGGGACGCGUUCCCCGUUUGCAGGUACUGUAUGAAUAAGGACCGGCUAAUUCCGUGCCAGCCGCGGC